GAUGAACGCUGGCGGCGUGCCUAAUACAUGCAAGUCGAGCGAACAGACGAGGAGCUUGCUCCUCUGACGUUAGCGGCGGACGGGUGAGUAACACGUGGAUGACCUACCUAUAAGACUGGGAUAACUUCGGGGAACCGGAGCUAAUACCGGAUAAUAUAUUGAACCGCAUGGUUCAAUAGUGAAAGACGGUUUUGCUGUCACUUAUAGAUGGAUCCGCGCCGCAUUAGCUAGUUGGUAAGGUAACGGCUUACCAAGGCAACGAUGCGUAGCCGACCUGAGAGGGUGAUCGGCCACACUGGAACUGAGACACGGUCCAGACUCCUACGGGAGGCAGCAGUAGGGAAUCUUCCGCAAAGGGCGAAAGCCUGACGGAGCAACGCCGCGUGAGUGAUGAAGGUCUUCGGAUCGUAAAACUCUGUUAUUAGGGAAGAACAAAUGUGUAAGUAACUAUGCACGUCUUGACGGUACCUAAUCAGAAAGCCACGGCUAACUACGUG
rnacentral:rRNA from 1 species